rnacentral:misc_RNA from 1 species
GGAGGUGGUGGUUAUGGUCGUGAGGAUUACGGGGGUGGUGGCUAUCGCAGAUCUCCAAGGCGCUCACCGUAUCGUGGUGGGCGUGAGUAUUCACCAAGGCGUUCACCGUAUGGUGGCAGGUCAAGAAGAGAUCGAUCUUAUUCUCCAUAUGGGAGCCCAGACAGAGGUGGCUAUGGGCGUCGUGGAAAUGGUUAUGGCAGGUAAAUUGAAACAUUCUUCAAGUAAGAGACUGGUGCUUGGUAGAGGCUUGUUUACUUUUCCGAAG